AACGUAGGAGGCGAGCGUUAUCCGGAUUUACUGGGCGUAAAGCGCACGCAGGCGGCUUGGCAAGUUGGAUGUGAAAGCUCCUGGCUUAACUGGGAGAGGCCAUUCGAGACUGCCAGGCUUGAGGUUGGGAGAGGGGUAUGGAAUUCCCGGUGUAGUGGUGGAAUGCGUAGAUAUCGGGAGGAACACCAGUGGCGAAGGCGGUACCCUGGCCCACACCUGACGCUGAUGUGCGAAAGCGUGGGGAG
rnacentral:rRNA from 1 species